rnacentral:tRNA from 1 species
GGAGGGUUGGCCCAGUGGGUAGAGCAUUUGUCUUGCAUACAAAGUCAUUAAGAUUUGAUCCAUUUUAUCAUCCU